rnacentral:rRNA from 1 species
GAUGAACGCUGGCGGCGUGCUUAACACAUGCAAGUCGAACGAAGCACUUUAUUUGAUUUCCUUCGGGACUGAUUAUUUUGUGACUGAGUGGCGGACGGGUGAGUAACGCGUGGGUAACCUGCCUUGUACAGGGGGAUAACAGUUGGAAACGGCUGCUAAUACCGCAUAAGCGCACGGCAUCGCAUGAUGCAGUGUGAAAAACUCCGGUGGUAUAAGAUGGACCCGCGUUGGAUUAGCUAGUUGGUGAGGUAACGGCCCACCAAGGCGACGAUCCAUAGCCGACCUGAGAGGGUGACCGGCCACAUUGGGACUGAGACACGGCCCAAGCUCCUACGGGAGGCAGCAGUGGGUAAUAUUGCACAAUGAGCGAAAGCCUGAUGCAGCGACGCCGCGUGAGCGAAGAAGUAUUUCGGUAUGUAAAGCUCUAUCAGCAGGGAAGAUAAUGACGGUACCUGACUAAGAAGCACCGGCUAAAUACGUG